rnacentral:rRNA from 1 species
GAGUUUGAUUCUGGCUCAGGACGAACGCUGGCGGCGUGCUUAACACAUGCAAGUCGAACGUGAUUUUUGUGGAAGUUCCUUCGGGAAUGGAAGCGAAAUGAAAGUGGCGAACGGGUGAGUAACACGUGAGCAACCUACCUUACACAGGGGGAUAGCCGUUGGAAACGACGAUUAAUACCGCAUGAGACCACAGAAUCGCAUGAUAUAGGGGUCAAAGAUUUAUCGGUGUAAGAAGGGCUCGCGUCUGAUUAGCUAGUUGGAAGGGUAAAGGCCUACCAAGGCGACGAUCAGUAGCCGGUCUGAGAGGAUGAACGGCCACAUUGGAACUGAGACACGGUCCAAACUCCUACGGGAGGCAGCAGUGGGGAAUAUUGCACAAUGGGGGGAACCCUGAUGCAGCGACGCCGCGUGAGCGAAGAAGGUUUUCGAAUCGUAAAGCUCUGUCCUAUGAGAAGAUAAUGACG